rnacentral:rRNA from 1 species
CCUGGCGACCAUAGCGACGUGGCCCCACCCGAUCCCAUCCCGAACUCGGCAGUGAAACGCGUCUGCGCCGAUGGUAGUGUGGCCUAAGCCAUGCAAGAGUAGGUCAUCGCCAGGA